AAGUGCUCUUUUCAACGUCCCGUGCCAUUCUGGGUUUGACAUUCGCAGUCUUACGCGAAGCUCGCGACCAAACAGACGCACCCAGCGAGGGGGGAUUCGGCAGUGCGGACAGGACGUGGAUAUUGACACAGCAGACGGACGGACACAGGCUUCAUUUUCUUCUAGCAACGGGGAAUACAACUGGAACUUACUUUUAUGUGAUAUAUUCUUCAAAAAAAAAAAAAAGAAAUCUGGAAAUAUGAAGUUGCUUCGGAUUGCGCUGUUGAUUGCUCAUGGCUUCGCGGUGUCCAGAUUGGCCGGCAGCGCCUCUGUUGACAGCUAUGUGAGCGCCAAACCGGCGCAGACUUCGGUGAUAGAUCUGCUCCACGCACUGAGCGAAAUGAAUAGCGUGGAAGAUACUGCAGAGGUGGAAUACGGGAGUGAGGAUGAAUACUACUACGAUGAAGAUGAAGAAGAGGAUUAUCUAUCAGGGGAUUAUGGACUCGAACUCCCCAGAGUGGCGUUUUCCACCAAACCGAAGGACCCGUCCGUCGUUCUGAGCACCGAGAGGAAGAAAAAAGGAAAGGGCAGGAAGAAGGGCAAAGGCAGGAAGCGGAACCCCUGUCUGAGGAAGUACAAGGAUUUCUGCAUCCAUGGCGACUGCCAGUACCUGAAGGAUCUGCACGCGCCUGCCUGCAUAUGUAAAGCGGGGUACUCAGGGGAGCGCUGUCACCUCUUCAGCUUGCCGGUGUCGAAAGAGGAGGGGAGCUACAGUCGGACCACAGCGCUGGCUGUGGUGGCGGUGGUCCUGUCCCUCAUCUGCCUCACCAUCAUCGGCAUCCUCCUGGCGCUAAGGAAAGGUUCCAGGACAGAGGGCCUAAAUCCUCUGUUGUUUCAGGUUCCACAAACAAGGUGACUAUGACGUUGAGAGUGAAGAGAAGGUCAAAUUGGGAAUGACCUCACACCACUGAAGAGCAGGAGAGGAAAGCCAAAGGAGAUGGAAAUUCUACCUCAAAAAUGCUAAAACAAAUGGAGAAGUGCCAAGAGGAACACACGUUUCGGGAAGAAGGGGAGAGAGCAAGUGUGUCUGGCACAUGUGACUGUCGCCCCGCAAACGACGGACAGACUGACGGACAGGGCAGACACACUGGAGGCGGGUGAGGGAUGUCAGGGGGUGGGGGUGGGGGGGCUGAGUUUGGCCAGCGGACUAAGACAGACGUCUUGUCUGAAACUGGGAAUCUGAUUGGACGACGAGAUGGACUGACGGAAGAUGUGAGGAUGAUUCUCUGGCGGUGUGGGGUCGAGCGUGUGGCGUAAGGACUAAGGAGGUUAAAUUAAACUCUGCUCUUCAUCCCGUUUUUGACAGGGACAUGGUAUCUUUCAAAGGUGCUUUUAUAGCAGAAAGUCACGUGGCCUUUAUGUGGUGUGUUGUACCGUUGUACGAUUCAUUUUUGUUGUUGUUGUUGUCAUUUUGUUUGUUUGUUUUUCCACUCACGUUCGUUCUUGUCUGUCUUGUAAAUGUAUUUAUACCAUCCGUAUUUUAAUUUAUUUAUUUAUGUUCUGGUAUAGUCGUAUUUAUUCAGAGUUCUACUGGCUUAGCCUGUUUUGGAAAUGCACUGCCAGUUCUUCAACAUUGAGAUAACAUUCAUGUCCUUGUCUAUUUUUAUAUGGAAAAGUAAUCCAAGUUGAUAUUUAUUCAAAUUAAAUAUGGUAAAGGCAAAGGCCACCCAGUGGUUAGAUGGUUUUUGUAAAGAAGCUUUAUUUGCAUUGAUAGUAAUUCCCAUUCAGUGGUUUCUACCUGUGGCAAAGUAAAACAAAAAAUAGACUGGCUGAGAUACACAAUAAAAACAAACCCAUGCUUACUGUAGCUUUACCAGUAAAAAUGGCCUGAAAGCAAUCUCUGCCUUCCCACUGGUCAAGGGCUGUGUGAUGUAAAGGUUAAGCUAAACUAAUUCAGAGGUAAUACUUUACAAUUAGGUUACAUGAACGGGCAUUAACUGAUGUAUUUGAUAACUAAGUUACUACUGAGAAGUUCAUCUGUACUGCUCUGUUAAUGUAUGUGUAUAUCAUUAAUUCAUGUUAACAACAACAUUUGUUAUUUCCAAUUCAUAUUGGAAUAAAAAAACUGUUCAUAUAUUUGUUAAUGGUUAACUAUUUAUAAAUUGAUCCUCUGGUUUGCUAAUAUAUCAAUAUUCAUGUAAUUAAUACAUUAGUUAGAAGUUAACACAUUUCAUGCAUAAUCAUUAACAACUACAUUAUUUAAUACCAAUUCAUGAACCUUAUUGUAAAGUGUGACCAAUUCAGCUUAUAAAAUGUGAAUUUAAAAACAGUCUGGCUUCUCAAAACUAAUCUUUUGAAUGAACUGAAGUUUUGUGAAAUUAUGCCUGAUAUGAAUGGAAAAUAAAACUUUUUUUUAACUGAAAA